GAUGAAGAACGUAGCGAAAUGCGAUACGUAAUGUGAAUUGCAGAAUUCAGUGAAUCAUCGAAUCUUUGAACGCAUAUUGCGCUCUCUGGUAUUCCGGAGAGCAUGCUUGUUUGAGUAUCAGUAAACACCUCAACUUCCAUAACUUUUUUGAAAUGGGAGUUGGACUUGAGUGAUCCCAACGCUUUUCCUCACCGAAAAGUGGCGGGUUACUUGAAAUGCAGGUGCAGCUGGACUUUUCUCUGAGCUAUAAGCAUAUCUAUUUAGUCUGCCUAAAAAACAGAUUAUUACCUUUGCUGCAGCUAACAUAAAGGAGAUUAGUUCUUGUGCUGACUGAUGCAGGAUUCACAAAGACAGGCUUCGGCCGACUUUGUAAACUCGAUCUCAAAUCAAGUAAGACUACCCGCUGAACUUAAGCAUAUCAAUAAGCGGAGGA
rnacentral:misc_RNA from 1 species